AUGAAUAAAUACAAACGCAGAGGGGCGAGAGGCGCGCAGCGAGCUGAGAGCGGGGGGGAGACAAGCGAGAAGAAAAGAAGGCGACGGAGUAGAGGGGCGAUCAAGGCAAACUCGCAGCCCCGCUGGAGGGAUCGGGAGGAAAAAAGGGAAGCGCAAGAUGGAGAGAAGCGUGCGUGUGUGUGUGCGGUGGCGGCGGCGGCGGGGGCGGGGGAAGGGGUGCCAAGCUGGGUCUCGGGCGGCGGCGGCGGGCCGGUCACCCGGGCAGAGGGCGGUGCGCGCCCGGCCGGGCGGCGGCACGCUGCGCAGUCACCGCGAGGGCGCGCCGCGGCCGCGGGGAGACAUACACCGGCCCGCCGGGCCCGGCUCAGCGGCGGCGGCGCGGGCUGCGCACGGCUCCGCCGCCGCCCGGGGCCCUGGGCACCGCGCCCCGCUUCGCUCCAAGUUACUUUGGCAGCCUUUGGGGGGGCGGGGGGCGGCAAUUGCAGGAGGGGAGCUCCGUGCGGAUUGCGCGGGGGCGGAGGGGGGGCUUCGCGCGUUUGGUCCCAGGCAGUCGGAGGACCCCCCGUUUCCCCCGCCUCCUCGGUGCUUUCGAGCCGGGUGAGCCCUGGAAAUCUCGGAGGAGUCCCAGGCGCGGUGGGCGCGGGGCGGUACGCCGAGAAGGGCGGGAUCUGGAGUCACGGAGCGGCCAGCCCCGCCGGCGUCCUGGAGCUGGGGGAGCGGCCGCGGAGCUCUGGAGGAGACGUUUUGCUUCGCAAACCUCCAAGAAAAGUUUGGCUCCCCCGUGUCUUCGGGCGGGUCCCCCACCCCUCCUCCGGCGGAGUCCGUCUGCGGCGGCGGUGGGAGGCGACACCCGGCCGCGGGCUGAGUCCCGGGGACCCUUCGCGCGUGCCUUCUUCGGCCGGGAGCGGGUGCACCGGGGCGCGCGGAGAGCAGAGGUUACGCACCAGCCAGCCGGGCGGAGCUGGGAUGCCGAGACCCGCGGGGCUAUGCCAACCCAGCUGUGAGGCUCGGGGGCGGGAGGGCAAACGACCCCUCGCAGAUGAACCCCUCCAACUCCCGAACGGGCCGAUGUCAAGUCUCCGAUCGCCUUCCGGGAGCCAGACCGAGCCCCCCAGCUGCGGGGCCGAGAGCGCUGGGGGGAGCUCUCAGAAGUGUCCCUGCGACUCCGACCGGUUCCACCCCAAGCCCGGCAACUUGUAG
rnacentral:lncRNA from 1 species